CACAGUGGGAAGGGAGCACAGAGACUAAAUACACUAGAGGAGGGGAAACAAUGAGACAAAGGUGCAACAAAUCAGGGGCAUGGCAGACAAUCAUAGUGAUGGGAAACACAUGAGGGGAGGAAGUGGGGAUCUGAAACGAAACAUAAAAAGACCACAGAAAGGACUGUGAAGGUGAACCCUGGUCACGGUGUGACUGUCAUGUGCUUUGUAUUUCCUCCAUCCACCCCAACAACCCCAACAACCUCCCGGUGACUCCGCUGCUGUUGAUUGAUGGAUGAUUGGGAGCGGGAGCCUAGAAGAUCACUCUUCCAACAGGGCUCGCCAAAGUGAAGGGCCUCAAGAGGAUCCAGUGAUCUUCAGCUUGAACAGGGGCAGCCACCAGACAACAGAUGUUGCCCUCAAUUUUCAGAAG